rnacentral:rRNA from 1 species
CCUACGGGUGGCUGCAGUGGGGAAUAUUGGGCAAUGGGCGCAAGCCUGACCCAGCAACGCCGCGUGAAGGAAGAAGGUUUUCGGGUCGUAAACUUCUUUUCUGAGGGACGAAGGAAGUGACGGUAACCCAGGAAGAAGUCACGACUAACUACGUGCCAGCAGCCGCGGUACUACGUAGGUGGCAAGCGUUAUACGGAUUGAUUGGGAGUAAUGGGCGUGUAGGCGGGACAGCAAGUCAGAUGUGAAAACUUAGGGCUCAACCCUGAGCCUGCAUUUGAAACUGUUUUUCUUGAGUGCUGAAGAGGCGAUCGGAAUUCCGUGUGUAGCGGUGAAAUGCGUAGAUAUACGGAGGAACACCAGUGGCGAAGGCGGAUUGCUGGACAGUAACUGACGCUGAGGCGCGAAAGCGUGGGGAGCAAACAGGAUUAGAUACCCCAGUAGUC